CAUCAUAGAACAUGUUUAUGUAUCUUGUUUACACCAAGAAAAAGGUUUAAAACCUAUGAUGU
rnacentral:tRNA from 1 species